rnacentral:tRNA from 1 species
GCCAGCUCAGGGUAGAGCGUGUGACUCUUGAUCUCAGGGUUGUGAGUUCAAGCCCCACUUUGGGCA